rnacentral:rRNA from 1 species
CACGCCGUAAACGAUGAGUACUAGGUGUAGGGGGUAUCGACCCCCCCUGUGCCGCAGUAAACACAAUAAGUACUCCGCCUGGGAAGUACGAUCGCAAGAUUAAAACUCAAAGGAAUUGACGGGGACCCGCACAAGCAGCGGAGCAUGUGGUUUAAUUCGAAGCAACGCGCAGAACCUUACCAACGUUUGACAUCCUUAUCGCGAUUAGCAGAGAUGCUUUUCUUCAGUUCGGCUGGAUAAGUGACAGGUGC